UUCCCUACGGGGGGCAGCAGUGAGGAAUAUUGGUCAAUGGUCGGGAGACUGAACCAGCCAAGCCGCGUGAGGGAAGACGGCCCUAUGGGUUGUAAACCUCUUUUGUCGGAGAACAAAACCCGGGACGUGUCCCGGACUGCGUGUAUCCGAAGAAAAAGCAUCGGCUAACUCCGUGCCAGCAGCCGCGGUAAUACGGAGGAUGCGAGCGUUAUCCGGAUUUAUUGGGUUUAAAGGGUGCGUAGGCGGUCCGUUGAGUCAGCGGUAAAAUUGCGGGGCUCAACCCCGUCGAGCCGUUGAAACUGGCG
rnacentral:rRNA from 1 species